UACGGGGGGAGCAAGCGUUGUUCGGAUUUACUGGGCGUAAAGGGCGCGUAGGCGGUCAGCACAAGUCAGUUGUGAAAUCUCCGGGCUUAACUCGGAAAGGUCAACUGAUACUGUGCGACUAGAGUGCAGAAGGGGCAACUGGAAUUCUCGGUGUAGCGGUGAAAUGCGUAGAUAUCGAGAGGAACACCUGCGGCGAAGGCGGGUUGCUGGGUCUCUUCUGACGCUGAGAUACGAAAGCUAGGGGAGCGAAGGGG
rnacentral:rRNA from 1 species